rnacentral:piRNA from 1 species
UAUGGCCUUCAGCGGUGAAAUGUACCCU